rnacentral:rRNA from 1 species
CCCUUAGAUAUCCGGGGCCGCACGCGCGCUACACUGAAGGAAUCAGCGUGGCUUUCUCCCUGACCCGAAAGGGUUGGGAAACCCGUUGAAUCUCCUUCGUGAUAGGGAUUGGGGCUUGAAAUUGUUCCCCAUGAACGAGGAAUUCCCAGUAAGCGCGAGUCAUAAGCUCGCGUUGAUUACGUCCCUGCCCUUUGUACACACCGCCCGUCGCUACUACCGAUUGAACGGUUUAGUGAGGGCCUCGGAUUGGUCUCGGCCCGCUCUUUACCGGGCGGCGCCGUUGGUCGAGAAGACGCUCGAACUUGAUCGUUUAGAGGAAGUAAAAGUCGUAACA